rnacentral:tRNA from 1 species
GGGUCCGUAGCCUAGCAUGGAAUAAGGCGCCGGUCUUCGGAGUAUAUACGAAGCUAACCGGAUGUCGUGGGUUCAAGUCCUACCGGGCCCGCCA